GCUCGGUCUUCGUUCUUGCCUUCCCAGCCUGUUGCUCCCGCGCGGUCGUUCCCGUCUUCAGCACAUUCUCCUUCUGGAGAUGGAAAGGGUAGUGGUCUUCAUUGUCAUCAUUGCGGACGUGGACAGGAUGGACAUGUGGAAUCUUUCUGUUACAAGAAAAAGAAUCAACGGCUUGCUCGUCGUUCUUCACAUACUACUAGUAGUUCUAGUGCUGCAGGUUCUCAGAGGAGUUCUACUAAUGCAGCUACCCAGGGGAUGCUCAUGCUCUGUCGCCUUGCUGUCUCUACACCACCGGGAGCCGCUGGUUCAGUAACUCAGUUUUCCG
rnacentral:misc_RNA from 1 species